AAGGUCUCCGUUGGUGAACCAGCGGAGGGAUCAUUACUGAGUUUACGCUCUACAACCCUUUGUGAACAUACCUAUAACUGUUGCUUCGGCGGGUAGGGUCUCCGCGACCCUCCCGGCCUCCCGCCUCCGGGCGGGUCGGCGCCCGCCGGAGGAUAACCAAACUCUGAUUUAACGACGUUUCUUCUGAGUGGUACAAGCAAAUAAUCAAAACUUUUAACAACGGAUCUCUUGGUUCUGGCAUCGAUGAAGAACGCAGCGAAAUGCGAUAAGUAAUGUGAAUUGCAGAAUUCAGUGAAUCAUCGAAUCUUUGAACGCACAUUGCGCCCGCCAGCAUUCUGGCGGGCAUGCCUGUUCGAGCGUCAUUUCAACCCUCAAGCUCUGCUUGGUGUUGGGGCCCUACAGCUGAUGUAGGCCCUCAAAGGUAGUGGCGGACCCUCUCGGAGCCUCCUUUGCGUAGUAACUUUACGUCUCGCACUGGGAUCCGGAGGGACUCUUGCCGUAAAACCCCCAAUUUUCCAAAGGUUGACCUCGGAUCAGGUAGGAAUACCCGCUGAACUUAAGCAUAUCAAUAAGCGG
rnacentral:rRNA from 1 species